CCUACGGGUGGCAGCAGUGGGGAAUAUUGGACAAUGGGGGGAACCCUGAUCCAGCCAUGCCGCGUGUGUGAAGAAGGCCCUCGGGUUGUAAAGCACUUUCAGUGAGGAAGAACGCCUGGUGGUUAAUACCCAUCAGGAAAGACAUCACUCACAGAAGAAGCACCGGCUAACUCCGUGCCAGCAGCCGCGGUAAUACGGAGGGUGCGAGCGUUAAUCGGAAUUACUGGGCGUAAAGCGCGCGUAGGUGGCUUGAUAAGCCGGUUGUGAAAGCCCCGGGCUCAACCUGGGAACGGCAUCCGGAACUGUCAAGCUAGAGUGCAGGAGAGGAAGGUAGAAUUCCCGGUGUUGCGGUGAAAUGCGUAGAGAUCGGGAGGAAUACCAGUGGCGAAGGCGGCCUUCUGGACUGACACUGACACUGAGGUGCGAAAGCGUGGGUAGCAAACAGGAUUAGAUACCCGAGUAGUC
rnacentral:rRNA from 1 species